rnacentral:rRNA from 1 species
GGACGAACGCUGGCGGCGUGGAUUAGGCAUGCAAGUCGAACGGUAUGGUGCUUUCGGGCAUCAGAGAGUGGCGAACGGGUGAGUAACACGUAGGUGAUCUACCCUCAAGACGGGGACAACCCAGGGAAACUUGGGCUAAUACCGGAUGAUAGCAGCAGUGAUGUUGUUUAAAAGAUGGCUUUCGGGCUGUCGUUUGGGGAUAAGCCUGCGUCCUAUUAGCUAGUUGGUAUGGUAAUGGCAUACCAAGGCGAUGAUAGGUAGGCGGCCUUAACGGGUAGUCGCCCACACUGGGAUUGAGAUACGGCCCAGACUCCUACGGGAGGCAGCAGUCGAGAAUAGUCUACAAUGGUCGGAAGACUGAUAGUGCGACGCCGCGUGAACGAUGAAGCCCUUCGGGGUGUAAAGUUCUUUUAUAUGUGAGCAGUGGGUUUUACGUUAAUAGCGUGGAAUCAGGGAUAUUAGCAUAUGAAUAAGCAACGGCUAACUCCGUGCCAGCAGCCGCGGUAACACGGGGGUUGCGAGCGUUGUCCGGAAUUACUAGGCGUAAAGGGCAGGUAGGCGGAUCUAUAAGUUUUUGUCAAAUUCAACGGCUCACCCGUUGCGCGGCAGGAGAUACUGUAGAUCUGGAAUGCGGUUGGGGAAGACAGAAUUCCUGGUGUAGCGGUGGAAUGCGCAGAGAUCAGGAGGAAUACCGAAGGCGAAGGCAGUCUUCUAAGCCGUAAUUGACGCUAAACUGCGAAGGUGUGGGUAUCAAACAGGAUUAGAUACCCUGGUAGUCCACACAGUAAACGAUAAUCACUGGGUGUCGGGUUCGUAGAGGAUUCGGUGCCGUAGCUAACGCGAUAAGUGAUUCGCCUGGGGAGUACGAUCGCAAGGUUGAAACUCAAAGGAAUUGACGGGGGCCCGCACAAGCGGUGGAGCAUGUGGUUUAAUUCGAGGCAACGCGAAGAACCUUACCCGGUCUUGACAUCUGCAGUAGGUUUCAGAGAUGAGGCCGUGCCGGCUUGCCGGAACUGCAAGACAGGUGCUGCAUGGCUGUCGUCAGCUCGUGUCGUGAGAUGUUGGGUUAAGUCCCGCAACGAGCGCAACCCCUGCUUCCAGUUACCAUCAUUUAGUUGGGGACUCUGGAAGGACCGCUGCGGUAACAACGCAGAGGAAGAUGGGGACGACGUCAAGUCAUCAUGGUCCUUAUGUCCGGGGCUACACACGUGCUACAAUGGUAGUUACAGAGGGAAGCGAAGCUGCGAGGUGGAGCGAAUCUCAUAAAAGCUGCCACAGUUCGGAUUGAGGUCUGCAACUCGACCUCAUGAAGUCGGAAUCGCUAGUAAUCGCGCAACAUCAUGGCGCGGUGAAUACGUUCCCGGGCCU